rnacentral:piRNA from 1 species
UAGAUGUCACAUGGUGAACAAGGCACUUUC